rnacentral:pre_miRNA from 13 species
GUUGUCUCCAUGGUUACCGUGGCAUUAGAUUGUUACUGUAGCAACUGCACCAGCGGUAACAGUCUACAGCCAUGGUCGCUAGGGGGCAA